CGGAGGGUGCAAGCGUUAUCCGGAUUCACUGGGUUUAAAGGGAGCGUAGGUGGUUUUGUAAGUCAGUGGUGAAAUGUUCCGGCUCAACCGGGAAACUGCCAUUGAUACUGCUUAACUUGAAUCAAGUCGAGGUGGAUGGAAUAAUACAUGUAGCGGUGAAAUGCUUAGAUAUGUAUUAGAACACCGAUUGCGAAGGCAGUUCACUAGGCUUGUAUUGACACUGAGGCUCGAAAGCGUGGGGAUCAAACAGGAUUAGAUACCCUGGUAGUCCACGCCCUAAACGAUGUAAACUCGACAUUGGCGAUAUACUGUCAGUGUCCAAGCGAAAGCGUUAAGUUUACCACCUGGGAAGUACGACCGCAAGGUUG
rnacentral:rRNA from 1 species